GGGUUUUAGAUAAAUAAAUUCUGCCUUCUAAGCGGACGGUCACAGGUUCGAGUCCUGUCGUACCCA
rnacentral:tRNA from 2 species